CUAGCUGUAGGUAUAAAGCCCUUUGGUAAGAAGAAGAGACAGAGGAAAAGGAAAAAGAGAAUCUGGGGUGGAGGAGACGGAAGAUAGAUUGAAUAAUAUCAAAUGGCGACAUCGAGGCUUCAAGCUCUGUGGAAUCACCCUGCCGGACCUAAAACCAUUCAUUUCUGGGCGCCAACGUUCAAGUGGGGAAUAAGCAUUGCUAACAUUGCAGACUUUGCUAAACCUACUGACAAAAUUUCCUACCCUCAACAGAUUGCUGUUACAUGCACUGGAGUUAUCUGGUCUCGCUACAGCAUGGUUAUCACUCCCAAAAACUGGAACCUCUUUAGCGUCAAUGUUGCUAUGGCUGGGACUGGCAUGUACCAGCUUGCUCGUAAAAUCAAAAACGAUUUUGCAUCUGAUGUGGAGCCUGUUGUUGCUAAAGAAUGAUUACGACGAAAAACAAGAAGAUGAAAACAUCAAAAGGAAAGAUGUGAUAUCAUCAUCAUCAUAUUGCUUGUGUUUGAAAAUCUAGUUUCAAGAUAUUUGAUUUUUCUUUUCACUCCCUGAUCGUAAGGGUCGAAUUACCAAAUAAGUUUUCUUUUUAAUACCCAAUAUCGAAACUUUGCGACAGCGAGCUCCUCCUGCGGGCUGCGGCUGUGAUAAGAACCUUUUAAGCUCUUCUUCCCUUUCUAUACAACUUGUUUUUAGAUAA